UAGGGAAUCUUCCACAAUGGACGCAAGUCUGAUGGAGCAACGCCGCGUGAGUGAAGAAGGUUUUCGGAUCGUAAAGCUCUGUUGUUGGUGAAGAAGGAUAGAGGCAGUAACUGGUCUUUAUUUGACGGUAAUCAACCAGAAAGUCACGGCUAACUACGUGCCAGCAGCCGCGGUAAUACGUAGGUGGCAAGCGUUGUCCGGAUUUAUUGGGCGUAAAGCGAGCGCAGGCGGAAUGAUAAGUCUGAUGUGAAAGCCCACGGCUCGACCGUGGAACUGCAUCGGAAACUGUCAUUCUUGAGUGCAGAAGAGGAGAGUGGAAUUCCAUGUGUAGCGGUGGAAUGCGUAGAUAUAUGGAAGAACACCAGUGGCGAAGGCGGCUCUCUGGUCUGCAACUGACGCUGAGGCUCGAAAGCAUGGGUAGCGAACAGG
rnacentral:rRNA from 1 species